AUCCGUCAACCCUCAGUUUGUUCUCCGUUUUUAAGAGUCUCUUAGGGUUUGGCUUCCUCCCUUUCUAACCUUUUUUUUCCCCUUCCCCUCCCCCAUGGUCUUCUGUUAAGUUUCUCAGGAUCCACAUAAGAGUGAAAACAUGGUAUCUGUUUUUCUCUUUAUGACUUAUUUCACUUAGCAUAAUACCCUCCAGUUCCAUCCACGUUGCUACAAAAGGCCAUAUUUCAUUCUUUCUCAUUGCCAAGUACUAUCCCAUUGUGUAUAUAAACCACAGUUUCUUUAUCCAUUCAUCAGCUGAUGGACAUUUAGGCUCUUUCCAUAAUUUGGCUAUUGUUCUUCAUGUGGCAUUCAGAUGGUUAGACGAUACAACGAAAAGUUUUGGGGAAAAAUAAUUGUGACUUGGCGGACAGUGAUGAUUAUUUUAAUCACCAAAUGUCCUAGAGAUUUCACAAGCUGAGAAUUUGCUGGUAGAUUCCAAAGGUGCAAAUGGUGUGAUUGGGGGGAAGAACUUCAGCUGAAGAAUAAUGGUAUAUGCGGCUAUUUGCUUGGAAACAUGAAUACCCAUCCUUAUUUCUGGGUAAUGCCGGAAGUUAGAAUUUGUUAGGACAUAAGUGGGAAUUUUUAAAUGGCCAGGAACAUUCUAGGCUCUGAGCUCAGUCAGGGUGUGGCUAUUUCUGAAAAUUUCCACUAAGGGCCUGUCUUAGUGUGCUCCAAAACUGCCAUAAGAAAAUACCAUGGACUGAGUGGUUUCAACAACAGAAAUGAACUUUCUCACAGUCCUGGAAGCUGGAAGUCAGAUCAGGGCACCAGCCAGCCUGGUCAGGUUCAGGUGAGAACUCUUCCUGACUUGCAGACAGCCACCCUCGCUGUGGUCUCACAUGGCCCAGAGAAAGAGAACAAGAGAAAGAGAGCUGGGUCUUUUCAAAGGCCACUGUCCUAUCUGACUUGGGCCCCACCCUCAGGACCUCAUUUAACCUUAAUGAACCCCCUGAAGGUGCCAUCUCCAGAUGGAGUCACACUGGGACUUAAGAUUUCAACAUGAAUGGAGUAGGGGCACAAUUCAGUCCAUAGCAAAGCUCAUCCUAAAAACCUUCCAGGCUGUAGUGUAAAUGACAUGCGGAUGUCCACCUAUGUGAUGGUAUUUGGGUUUACAUCGUUGUAAGUCCCGGUUGGGGUUUCUCAAUAGUUAGCUAAGAUGAUGAAUGGACUGGACUGAGGGACAAGAGGUGAGGCAAGAUUGUGGGAGAAGUCACUCUGGCCACUUCUAAGUUGUUCGAUGGGCACUGUCUAAUCCUCACCACAACCCUAUGAGCUCAUGCCUGUUUUAGAGAUGAAGAGACAGGCCCGGAUGUGCCCAAAGUCAUGUUAAAUUUAGCAGAGCUGGCAUUUAGAUGUGGCCUCAGGGGCCCAGGAUUCUGCUUCUGAGUGCCACACUAGAAUUCCCAAGUCACAGUCACCAAAGGAUCUGAGGGACACCGGUUACUAGGGAGUGCUUCUGUGACACGUUCUGUCUUAAGGAACUUUAUAGGGCAUAAGCCCUUCCAUUUCAAUCCUCACAUUUUCCAGUUGAGAAAAACAGCCCUAGAGAAGAUGAAAAGUCCAAAUGUAGUUCUAGGUUGAAAAUGCUUUAUGAACUCAAAAGUGCUAUUCUGUUGCUAGGUAUUAAUUAUUGUCACUAUUAUUACUGUUAUUAUCAUGUUAAUAUCUCCUGGCUAGUCCCCCUAGCCAAGCCUUCCAUGUAAAUGAUGCGCUACAUUUCAUAAUCCUGGAGGGAAUGAUCCUUUACACUUCAAAACAUUUUCCAUGUUCCAGAUGAAGAUAAUGAGUCUUCUUCAUCUCCAAUAGGUUUAGUGGCCAAUUGUAGCUUCAGGAGUUUCUGGACCUUCUAUGUGAGCGUUAGGAAGACCAGGGCUCAGAGACCAGGGUGUGAAAUAAUGACCUGAGUGGCGCUCAAAUCGUAAACCCCAUUCUGCCAUUGAUUUAUCUGGGUGGUGGAUUCUGCAGCUCUCCACUCUUCCUUUGUCCCAUUUGUAGGUGGGGGAAAUAACAUAGUUAUUAGGAAGGGCACUAAGGAAAAGCCCUUAGCUGUGGUCCUGGCUCUGUUUAACCUCAAAACCCAGAUACGUGCUUUGGUGUCCUCAGUCGGGUUCAGGAGCCCAUUUAGCUUGGUCUUUCUGGGUCAGUGUGACUUUAGUCCUCAAGCCUGGUUUUUGCUUAUUCAUUCAAGAAAACAGUGAUGUGACUGUUUUGCAUAUAAUACCACAAAGAUUUAGAAAUGUACACCUUCACUGUGAUCGUCAUCAUUGGAGUUAAAAUAGGUUUUAAAGUCAGAAAGCAAGGCUGGUUACUAGGGAAAGGGGAUUUGGCAAGAAAAGCGGAAGCCCACAGGAUUGAAGGGAAGCCAGAAUCAUGUUUAGGACUAGAACCCUGUGGAUUAAGGAGCCUCCUUCGUAAGAGCGGUCUGCUCAGGGAGCGCCUACCCUUGUGCAUUCCCUCUCUUAUCCCUAAGUCACCUGCUCCAGAUUCAGUUUUGCGGAUAACAGCAACUGGUCAUGGGAGCCUAGCCCACUACCACUCCCUGCAUUUACAGGAAGUGUCGGUUAAAAGGACCUCUCGGGGCUUUUUGGUUCCUGUGCUGAGGCCUGAAUUGACAACCAAUAGGGAAAGAGAUCAUUACCCACAAAGGAAAUUGAGGUUGCUACGAUGGGGAACAGACGCUAGGCAAGUCACUCUAGGGGGCUACAAACCAUAAAUUCUGGAAUAAAACGUAUUAAGUGUAUUCUAUGUGCCAAGGUGUUUACAUGAAAACAUUUCUUAUUCCUCAAAUUCCUAUGAGCCCAUUUAAUAGGCAGUUUUGAGAAGGAUGCUCAGAUCAUGAGCCACAUUAUGAAAAGCCCUCCCAUCUCUGGCCUUUUAGCCUUCUUUAGAAAAGCGCCUUCCAUGAGAUGGGCUCUUGGGAACUGUGUGCUUGUUUUUACCCCCAUGGUAGCUGAUAGGACCACUGAAAAAGCUUCCUGUCAAGUUGCGCAGGAAGGAAAUAGGAGAUCACGUGGGCCUUGUUUUCACAUAGGAACUGACCUGCGACGUGAACUGGUUUGCAGGGAGAACGAAACAGACACCCCCAUUAAAAUGAGAGCACUCCCAUUUCUAACCCCUUACUGAUGCUCAACUAGAUUCCUGCCCUUGGGUUCCUAGAAGCAACCCAUUAUCCUUACCAUUUCCCUUCAGUGCCAGAGUUAAUUUGAAUAGGAUUUUAUUACUUGUAACUGGCAUCCUAACAGGCAUGGUCAGGAUGCACAGAAGACUUCAUCACCUAACCCUGUGUCAGAAGCCUUGAAACGCCCAAGAUGAAACCGCUGUACCCAGAAGUUAGAGGAAAUUGGAACAACCCUGAGUUUAAACAAACAAAAAAAAAAUCCGUUUGGGGGACACCUGGGUGGCUCCGUCCGCUAAGCGGCCGACUUUUGCUUUCCGCUCAGGUCACGGCUUCAUGAUUUCGUGAGUUCCAGCCCCGCGUCGGGCUCUGUGCUGACAGUGCGGAGCCUGCUUGAGAUUCUUUCUCUCCCUCUCGCUCUGCCCCUUCCCCGCUCUUGCUCUCUCUUUCAAUAUAAAUAAACUUCAAAAAAAAAAAAAAAAUCUUUGAUUUGAGAAAAGGCCAACACCCUUCACUUCUAAGCUCCUUGACUCGUGAGAGCAGUUCUGCGAGUUGAGGCCGACUACGUUACGACAAAAACCUACCUGAGCGGCCUCCUCACCCAAAGUGGCCAAGCGGCUCCGCGCGGGAACUUUAUGGCCUGGCUCUCAGAAGGCCGCGUUUUCUUCCCACUGUGAUUGCAGAUCCCAGCGAAACGGACAAUGCGCAAGUUCCCUGUAGGGAAGGGAAUUGGAGGCGCAAGCCGAGCAGGGAGAAGCCAAUAGGAGAGGUCCAGAAGGCGGCCCAAAGGCAGACUCACGCACACCCUGCCAGGGUGGGCCACCACUGUCCCCACAGCCCUGCUCCGAAUGCGUUACGAGACCAGGAGUCUCUCUCUGGAAGGUGAUGGUUGACGUUUGCUGUCACGUGACCCAAACGUUGGCUAAGCGUGUGAGGGGCGGAGCUUCGGGCCCGGGCUGGAGGGUGGCUCCCCGGCCAAAGCGGAGAACCGCCGCGCCGCAGGUCGGGAGCCCCGCGUGCCCUGGAGCUCUCUGCUUUUCGAUGCCCUCCUUUCUAAGCCUUGUCACCCAAGGGGAGCUGUUGCAAAAGACUGAGGCAUCCGAAACCCUUUGUCUUCUGAGCUCUUGAAGAACGUUUGCAAACCCACCUCUUUUGAGCUGGAUGGAAGGUGCCUCCUUACGGUGUGGCCUUAAGCUUGAUAAAGAAUGACUUACUCUGGACUGCUGCAGUGACAGAGUAUCUAGAUGUGACAGGACAUGCUCAAGACCAGAGACAAGAAUAUAAACAGUGGGAGUGAAGAGACUCUGGGCAGUCGAGAACACGGGAUGGUAAAAGACGGAUAUAGUGUUUUUUGCGUGGGUUUUUUUUUGUUGUUGUUUGUUUGUUUUUUCAGUGAAGAGUUCCUUAUUCGGUAAAAAGAAGUGGGCAAGACUUAAGAGCUUUGGUGCUUUGGUGGAAUUUUCUCCAGUGUGAUUUCUUUGAAAGUUCCUUCCCCUCCAUUGUCUCUUGUUCUCUCUUUCCAGAAUUCCUACCAGUCAGACAGAUCCAGUCAGAUGACCCUCCCAACCCCACCACCCCCAUUCGUUCUUUAAUUUUCUUAUCCUUUAUCUUUUUUUAUUCCUUUGUCUUUUUGUUUCAUUUUUCAGAGAGACUUCCUUUACUUUUUCUUUUAGCUCUCCUCUAUGUUCUGACUUAACUCUUUGCUUUUUUCCCAUUUUCAAAACCUCUUUCUUGUUUUUUCAUAACAUCCUUUUCGUAGUGCAUUCGAUGGG